UAUAUUAUCUAGAGUCCCGACCGGUACCCGUCCUACCUGAAACACCCUCAAAUUUUAUUCGAGGUGAACUCUCUCAAAUUCGAGGUAAACUCUCUCAAAUUCGCUAUCGGUGAAUACAUGUGAGUGGAGAAAAAAAAAGCAAAAUGGGGGAUUGGGCUUAAAAGAAACUUAUGGAAUUUUUGUGACCUGUCAAAAAUGACAAUCAAUUUUGCAAAACAAAACAAUAGGUUUCGGAUUUUAAGAGUAAGUUUUUGUUAAUUGUUUUGAUUUUUAAUAUUAUUUGAUAUUUUUCAGACCAAAAUUCUUUAUGAUGAAGAGGGUAUAUACAAGUUUACUUCAUUGAAUAAAAAUCUAUCUUUUCAUUUUAGAUAGUGCGAAUAACAUACUCUCAUACAGGAAGCAAUUUCCCUAAGAAAUCUGUAAGUCCAAGCACACAAAGGGCUGAUUUGCCGGAAGUUUUUUUGUAUAUUAUAUUUCUCUUAGCAAAAUACUUCUCAAGGGCCAUAGCUGCCGCAGGCGUUGACGGUGGAGGUGUCACCAUCUCUACCAAUAGUCAAACGCAUUCAAUGCAACAAAACCAUCAGCAACAACACUACCAAGUCAAUGAUGCAAGUUUAAGUUUUGCCAUUCAAUAUUCGACCGCUAACGCCUUACUCCCAGCAGCUGAGUGUUGGUGUUGAAACAAAAUAACAGCACCAACUGGCAACUCAAUAUUCAUCAGCUGCCAAGAAAUAAAAUGCGAGCCGCUCAAAAAAAAACGACGAUGUGUGUAAGGAGUACUACCAGCCGGUAGCUCUGCAAGAAAAGCAGUAAACAUGAAUACAAUCGAAACAAGACUCCAAAAUCGCAUAAAUUCCAACCUUGACUGAUCGCACUGGCUUAACGGUGGCAAUCAUUCGGAGGCAAAUGACCUGGCCCGACAAGAAUCCCCAAGAAACCAAACAGAUUCAGAUCAGUCUCUCGACAGCUACUGAUGAUGUCGGCGAGUUGAAUCCAUCGAUUUUCACACAGAAAAUCAACAUCAAAAAAUCACGACAAUUCAGCAGCGUCAUGGUCAACCUGCCGAUCAACCAUUCACAGUGAACAACCUCUAUUCGUAGCGGAAGCGAUCUCUGCGUUGUCGACAAUGCGAACACAAUGUCAUCAAGCCGGAGUACCAACCGGGGCUCUUACAUUGCAACAGUGCGCGGACAUCAGUGUAAAUGCGAGGCAGCGGCUACUGCUGUAGACGAAGCUGACACCGCCUACAUAGAAGAGGUGAUACGAAUGCCGCUUUAUAAGGAACUUGUAGCGACAAUAUAGUACCUCCUAAAUGAUGGGAGUCGGAAAUCAUUGUUUUGUAUGUACUAUUUUAGAAUUCCCUGAGUCAACUUUGAUUCGAG